rnacentral:tRNA from 1 species
GCAUCCAUAGCUCAAUGGAUAGAGUCUCACCCUCCUAAGGUGAUUGUUGCAGGUUCGACUCCUGCUGGGUGCGCCA